rnacentral:lncRNA from 1 species
CCUUAGGGAUUGGGCAUCGAUGCACAAACGCUGGAACAGCUGGCCGGUGAGAGGGGUGAGCUCCUACAUCUGUGACUGACGGAAAAAUGAAAAAUAGGUUCAGUGGCGACGGCGGCGGACGGAAACCACGGGAAGAGGCAAGUAGGUUUUUUUUUUGUCAAUAGGCAAGUAGGUUUUGAGUAACCUAAUUUCUAACCCUACAUGAAGAUUCAGAUGGGAUCCUCCAAUGCAGCCCAAGAAUGCAAUAGGCCCAAAA